CUCCGCUAACGCGGAGCUAAUACCGCAUAUGUUCGCUCAUUCGGUUGGGCGAGUAAAGCAGCGAUGCGCUUAGGGAUGGGCCUGCGGCGGAUUAGGUAGUUGGUGGGGUAACGGCCUACCAAGCCGAUGAUCCGUAGGGGGCGUGAGAGCGUGGCCCCCCACACUGGCACUGAGACACGGGCCAGACUCCUACGGGAGGCAGCAGUGAGGAAUAUUGCACAAUGGGCGCAAGCCUGAUGCAGCAACGCCGCGUGAGGGACGAAGGCCUUCGGGUUGUAAACCUCUUUUCUGAGGGACGAGGAAGGACGGUACCUCAGGAAUAAGUCUCGGCUAACUACGUGCCAGCAGCCGCGGUAAAACGUAGGAGGCGAGCGUUAUCCGGAUUUACUGGGCGUAAAGCGCGCGCAGGUGGCUUCGUGAGUCGGACAUGAAAGCUCCUGGCUUAACUGGGAGAGGCUGUUCGAUACUGCGGGGCUUGAGGUUGGGAGAGGGACGCGGAAUUCCCGGUGUAGUGGUGGAAUGCGUAGAUAUCGGGAGGAGCACCAGUGGCGCAAGCGGCGUCCUGGCCCACACCUGACGCUGAGGUGCGAAAGCGUGGGUAGCAAACAGGAUUAGAUACCCUGGUAGUCCACGCUGUAAACGAUGUCAACUGGGUGUCGGUAGUUUUACACUAUCGGUGCCGAAGCUAACGCG
rnacentral:rRNA from 1 species